GGCACCUUGACAGUUGCACGAAUUUGAUCCCUGCACUGCCACGCAGUUUGUCGUGCCAACGCAUCCCGCUUUGUCCUGCUUUCUCCCACUU